CAGUCAGCCUGUGGAACUCACUGCCAGGGGAUGUUGUGAAGGGCAAAACUGUAGCUGAGUUCAAAAAAGAACUGGGAACAUUCAC